GUGUCAGCAGCCGCGGUAAUACGAAGGUCCCAAGCGUUAUCCGGAUUUAUUGGGUUUAAAGGGUGCGUAGGCGGAUUAUUAAGUCAGUGGUGAAAGCCCCAGGCCCAACCUGGGAAUUGCCAUUGAUACUGAUGAUCUUGAGUACAUUUGAGGUAGGCGGAAUGUGUCAUGUAGCGGUGAAAUGCUUAGAUAUGACACAGAACACCAAUUGCGUAGGCAGCUUACUAAACUGUAACUGACGCUGAGGCACGAAAGCGUGGGGAGCAAACAGGAUUAGAUACCCCGGUAGUCC
rnacentral:rRNA from 1 species